rnacentral:rRNA from 1 species
UGAAGAGUUUGAUCCUGGCUCAGAUUGAACGCUGGCGGCAUGCCUUACACAUGCAAGUCGGACGGCAGCGCGGGGGCAACCCUGGCGGCGAGUGGCGAACGGGUGAGUAAUACAUCGGAACGUGUCCUGGAGUGGGGGAUAGCCCGGCGAAAGCCGGAUUAAUACCGCAUACGCUCGGGAGAGGAAAGCGGGGGAUCUUCGGACCUCGCGCUCAAGGGGCGGCCGAUGGCAGAUUAGCUAGUUGGUGGGGUAAAGGCCUACCAAGGCGACGAUCUGUAGCUGGUCUGAGAGGACGACCAGCCACACUGGGACUGAGACACGGCCCAGACUCCUACGGGAGGCAGCAGUGGGGAAUUUUGGACAAUGGGGGCAACCCUGAUCCAGCAAUGCCGCGUGUGUGAAGAAGGCCUUCGGGUUGUAAAGCACUUUUGUCCGGAAAGAAAAC